rnacentral:lncRNA from 1 species
GGAAAUGUUUACAACUUUCACCUAUUCGUAUUGGCUUGGAGGUUGUUUUCUAAUCAUCAUAUCGCUGACAAGGUGCAGUUCAGAUGUACAUGACGCGGCCCAUUCCUUGCUGGAUGACAUUUUCCAGAUUGGAACAAAAAACGCAACUGCAGAACUUCUGGGACAGCUUAACCUCUUUGUCUCCAAGUUGACAGGAACAUCCACUGGAUUCACGGCCAUUAACUUCUUUGUCAUCACAAACGAGUUCCUUCUGACUUUGGGUGGACUGUUCAUCACCUACUUCUUCCUCCUGCUGCAAUUCAAGAUAUAGACUGACACUGGGUUGUCCUCAUGUGGAUAGAUUCAUACACACCAAGUGUCCUGUCCCCAAAA